rnacentral:rRNA from 1 species
UGGGGAAUAUUGGACAAUGGGGGAAACCCUGAUCCAGCCAUGCCGCGUGAAUGAUGAAGGCCUUCGGGUUGUAAAAUUCUUUUGGUGGGGACGAUGAUGACGGUACCCACAGAAUAAGCUCCGGCUAACUUCGUGCCAGCAGCCGCGGUAAUACGAAGGGAGCUAGCGUUGUUCGGAAUUACUGGGCGUAAAGGGCGCGUAGGCGGUAAGAAUAGUCAGGUGUGAAAGCCCUGGGCUCAACCCAGGAAUUGCGCUUGAUACUGUCUUGCUUGAAUUCGGUAGAGGUGAGUGGAAUUCCCAGUGUAGAGGUGAAAUUCGUAGAUAUUGGGAAGAACACCGGUGGCGAAGGCGGCUCACUGGACCGACAUUGACGCUGAGGCGCGAAAGCGUGGGGAGCAAACA